GAUGAACGCUGGCGGCGUGCUUAACACAUGCAAGUCGAACGGAAAGGCCCAAGCUUGCUUGGGUACUCGAGUGGCGAACGGGUGAGUAACACGUGGGUGAUCUGCCCUGCACUUCGGGAUAAGCCUGGGAAACUGGGUCUAAUACCGGAUAGGACCACAUUUUGGAUGGUGUGGUGGAAAGUUUUUCGGUGUGGGAUGAGCUCGCGGCCUAUUAGCUUGUUGGUGGGGUAAUGGCCUACCAAGGCGUCGACGGGUAGCCGGCCUGAGAGGGUGUACGGCCACAUUGGGACUGAGAUACGGCCCAGACUCCUACGGGAGGCAGCAGUGGGGAAUAUUGCACAAUGGGCGCAAGCCUGAUGCAGCGACGCCGCGUGGGGGAUGACGGCCUUCGGGUUGUAAACUCCUGUCGCUAGGGACGAAGCGUUUUUGUGACGGUACCUGGAGAAGAAGCACCGGCUAACUACGUG
rnacentral:rRNA from 1 species